GAUGAACGCUGGCGGCGUGCCUAAUACAUGCAAGUCGAGCGAACAGACGAGGAGCUUGCUCCUCUGACGUUAGCGGCGGACGGGUGAGUAACACGUGGAUAACCUACCUAUAAGACUGGGAUAACUUCGGGAAACCGGAGCUAAUACCGGAUAAUAUAUUGAACCGCAUGGUUCAAUAGUGAAAGACGGUUUUGCUGUCACUUAUAGAUGGAUCCGCGCCGCAUUAGCUAGUUGGUAAGGUAACGGCUUACCAAGGCAACGAUGCGUAGCCGACCUGAGAGGGUGAUCGGCCACACUGGAACUGAGACACGGUCCAGACUCCUACGGGAGGCAGCAGUAGGGAAUCUUCCCAAUGGGCGAAAGCCUGACGGAGCAACGCCGCGUGAGUGAUGAAGGUCUUCGGAUCGUAAAACUCUGUUAUUAGGGAAGAACAAAUGUGUAAGUAACUAUGCACGUCUUGACGGUACCUAAUCAGAAAGCCACGGCUAACUACGUG
rnacentral:rRNA from 1 species